rnacentral:misc_RNA from 1 species
AAUUAAGGCAAAGAAUGGCAUCUGAGUAUAGAGAAACUGUUCAAAGAAGGUACUUCACGGUGACAGGAGAAAAUCCAGAUGAAGGUACACUAGAUACUCUAAUAUCGACUGGCCAAAGUGAGACAUUUUUGCAGAAAGCAAUACAGGAGCAAGGAAGAGGACAAGUAAUGGACACAGUUAUGGAGAUUCAAGAGAGGCAUGAAGCUGUGAAGGAAUUAGAGAGAAAUCUGAAAGAAUUGCAUCAAGUUUUCAUGGACAUGGCUGUUUUAGUUGAAAGUCAAGGAGCACAGCUAGAUGACAUUGAAAGUCAAGUUAAUAGAGCCAAUUCAUUUGUCAGAGGUGGUGCUCAGCAGCUUGAGGUAGCAAGAAAACACCAGAAAAGUUCAAGAAAAUGGACUUGUAUUGCCAUUAUUAUUUUGCUCAUUAUUGUCUUGGUGGUGGUUCUUUCUAUUCAACCAUGGAAGAAAUGAGAAUCACUCAAACGUGGGGUUCGAACCAUGGA